GAUGAACGCUGGCGGCGUGCCUAAUACAUGCAAGUCGAGCGAACGGACGAGAAGCUUGCUUCUCUGAUGUUAGCGGCGGACGGGUGAGUAACACGUGGAUAACCUACCUAUAAGACUGGGAUAACUUCGGGAAACCGGAGCUAAUACCGGAUAAUAUUUUGAACCGCAUGGUUCAAAAGUGAAAGACGGUCUUGCUGUCACUUAUAGAUGGAUCCGCGCUGCAUUAGCUAGUUGGUAAGGUAACGGCUUACCAAGGCAACGAUGCAUAGCCGACCUGAGAGGGUGAUCGGCCACACUGGAACUGAGACACGGUCCAGACUCCCACGGGAGGCAGCAGUAGGGAAUCUUCCGCAAUGGGCGAAAGCCUGACGGAGCAACGCCGCGUGAGUGAUGAAGGUCUUCGGAUCGUAAAACUCUGUUAUUAGGGAAGAACAAAUGUGUAAGUAACUGUGCGCAUCUUGACGGUACCUAAUCAGAAAGCCACGGCUAACUACGUG
rnacentral:rRNA from 1 species